CUAGAUAAACAAUGAGGAGCGCUCAUCCCGCGGUUCGCCAGAACUCUCAUUCUGGAGUGCUGGAAAGACAAAGACUUCCUCCUCCUCAGCAUCUGUGUUCCUAUAAGAACACUGUUCUUGAGCACCAGGGGCUUCAUAACGAACUGGGCAUCCUUUGGAAAACUUAAGGCAGAGAAGAGACAAGAUCUAACUGGUUUUGACAGGGCUUCUGACAAAUGGCUCUUUUGACUAUGGACUGAAGAGGAGCAAGAAGUCUGGAAUCAAGGCGACUAGGAAACAGCUGUGAUUAUCAGUGAUCCCGUACUCUGGGAAGGACACUGACUGAAUGGACCCUUCCAACUCAAGGCUCUUGAGGGCAGCUCAUCAGAGAACACACCAUAGUCUGGGGCCAGAGAGAAGGGGAACAUGGAUCUGCUGAAUUGCAACAAGUCUGGCUCAGCAGAAUUAGCAGGACAUCAUGAAAGUCCUUCUGAUGACUUGACCUUCAGAAUUUCCUAGCUAUCUGGCCACCACUUCCAGAGCAGCAUACAUAACACCUUCCAGCACUAUGAAAGCUAUCCAGUAGAGAUGAAGCUUCAAGCAAAUGGCAGUGAAUUCAGAGACUCUUGGCUGUUUACAGUGCUGAGAUUAGGAGAGUGUUGAGUGCUCAACUCUAAACCGAACAUCUACAUCAUCCCCUAAAGGCUCAGAGAACAUCAGAGAAAGGGGAAAGAGUGUAAGAGUCUGAUGAUGGGAAGAAGGGAUGAGAAAUGCUACCUUCUGGAUAUGAUGUGACCUCUGCAAUCAAGAACUCACAGCAUGCAUGAGCCUGGGCCUGGCAACACUCAGCCACGGAUAGGGAAGGACUCUUGGGGUCUGCCCAGGGGAACUACUGAGUGCUGAAUGAUGCUGGAGGAAGGGAGUCAUUGUCUUCAGUAGUUAGCCAUUGCAUAUGUGGAUGACCCUGGUUAAACUCAGUUGGUCUCAAAACAGAAACAAAAUGACAUGAAAAGAAGAGGAGGACUUGCAAAAGGUGGGGGGGUGAUGCAGAUGGGAGGGGGACAGGACAGGGCUGGGUGAGUAUAAUCAGAAUGCUAUACACGCAUGAAACUGUCAAGGAAUAGCCUCACAGAAGCAAUUUAAGCAGGGAUGGAUGGGUUUAUUUUAGCUCAGACUCAAAGGUUCCAGCCAUAGUCCUUGGCUCUGUUGGUUCUGGGCCUGAGGUGAGGCAGGACAUGAUGGUGGUAGGAGUAUGUGUCAGAGGCUGCUUACUUCAUAGUGGACAGGAAGCCAGAGAGAGGAAGAGAUUAGAGACAGGCAUAACAUUCAAAAGUGUGUCCAGUGAUGUACCUCCCCCAGCUAGGACCCACCUAUGUCACUUCUAUACCUUUAAGUCCUAAUCCUACUUCUGGGCAGGUGAGGGGACGAUGUCCUCUGGGAGAAUCUCCAUGGCUUUGUUUGCUGAUUCAAGCUGACAGAACCAAAACAGCCAACUCUUGAUCCUUUCCUUUCUAGGCAAGCAAGCUAAAAUGCUUGUGUUAAACAGCUGUGUGUCCUCACUUGGGCCUUUGAAGAACUAAGGAACAUGGGUUAAUGUGGGAUGUUUGAGGCUCUGUGAGGCUGCAGUGGGUCCCUGUUCUCAGGAAGGAGGAUGAAGGAAGCCAUCAGUCACCAAGGUGCUCAGGCAAAGGGGCCAGCAAUAGGGCAUGUGUCAGCAGAAUCCCUCCUCACCUGCCACACUCAUCUAUAAAACAGCAAUGUAAAAUAAUGUCAUUGAGAAAAUAAAAUGAGUUUUAUACAUUUUUAAAUCAGCUAACUUCAGAGGAACAUUAGCCACAAUACUAAGAAUGCAGAAAUAACCCAUGCCCACCAAUGAGUGAAUGAGCAAACUAAAUAGACACCAUAUAUUCAUUUAAUGGAAUAUUACUCAGCCUUAAAAAGGAAGACAGUGCUCACACACAGUACAACACAGAUGAAUCUCAGGAACAUUAUACAGAGUGAAAUAAGCCAAACACAAAGCUAUCCAUUUCCAAGCCAUCAGGAAACCUGGACGAGCAAGAGUAUAGCAGGCCUCUGGCCAGCCCUCCAGGCUGGAGACCUGGACCCCUUUCAGGCCACCAUGAAACUAAGCCCAGGGGUGGAAGUGUGGUGUCGUAGCUCUGAAGUCUGUGCAAGAGCUGCUUAAGGUUAAGGCCAGGAUCCAGGAUACUCCACUCCUCCUCUUCCUCCUUCCCCUUCUUCUCCCCACCCCUGCUUUAGAGCCACAGAGAGGACACAGACCUCCCUACCAUGCAGGACGAGAGGUGCAGUGUGACUGUUGUCUCCAGUUGGCACUGGCUUUGGCGGAAAGGACAGGCUGCUCAGAAGUGAGGCUGUAACAGGUACACUCCAGCCAGUAGGGUGAUCAGCAGCAACCAACCCACAAGUGGCCUAGGCUGGCAUCACACCUGAGCUUCUGCCUCGCCUACCAGAAGCCACCUGAAAGACAAGGCUCAGGGACUAUGCAUGUUGGCUGGGAAAGGACUGAUCUAUCCACUGUGAUCCCAGGUGCCAGAGCUGGGUGUCCCCAGCUGCAUGUGCCAUAAAGCCCCAAGCCACUUCCAUGGAUCACAGGUGUAAUGGACUUGAGUGACUAGAGAUGCCCUCAUCUGUUCCCCUGGCAGUC